CAUUCAAGUAUCACGGUAUUUAGUGCCUUGGUCCCACCAGUCGUGCGCUGUGCUCUUUCAGAGACCGUACCGAGUGGAAUUUAGCGACCGCUGACCGUUUUGAAGACUGUACGCGGCCGGCAGCGGGCGGUCCCAUCCUCGCCUCCGGCUAGAGAGGGGGAGACCGCGACAGGGGACCGCGCGUCCCCGUCCCGUUGUGCCGGCUCGCAGAGUGCGAACGGGUGUGUUGAGUGCGUUGUGUCCAGUGUCGUCUGGCGUCUCCUCUUCCGACCAUGUAGGACGUAGGUUUCCGCUAGUUUCUGCUGUGUGACAAUCAGUGCAUUUAUCCUAGUUGUUGCAGUGCUAAGUUUAAAAAAAAAAACUGGCGUUGAAACGUUGUCUUCAAAAUGGUGGCGAUCACCGCCGUCGCUCACUUGCCUGCGGCAAAGGGAAAAGUGCUGUCGGUGGCGUUAUGUAGUGUCAUGCCUUGAAACAGGGCCCGGAGUGCGAGGCUCGACGGGUGACUCAACAGUCAAGGCCCCCACGGCCCUGACUCAACCGCUCAAGAUGUGAAGAUGGCGGAGACUGAGCGGCGACCGAGGUUGUGUGACGUGAUGUGUGAAGUGUAGCUGACUCGAAAAAAGUGAAGAGCUGUGCAUAUAUCAUAGAAAUACAUUUUCCCCCAA